rnacentral:rRNA from 1 species
UCGCAGUCUGCAACUCGACUGCGUGAAGGUGGAGUCGCUAGUAAUCGCGGAUCAGCAACGCCGCGGUGAAUGCCGUUCCCGGGCCUUGUACACACCGCCCGUCAAGUCAUGAAAGUGGGCAGCACCCGAAGACGGUGGCCUAACCCUUGUGGGGGGAGCCGUCUAAGGUGAGGCUCGUGAUUGGGACUAAGUCGUAACAAGGUAAC